UGCGUAGGUGGCGUGUUAAGUCAGUGGUGAAAGCCUGCAGCUCAACUGUAGAGGUGCCAUUGAUACUGACAUGCUUGAGUAUGGACGAGGUAGGCGGAAUUUGUGGUGUAGCGGUGAAAUGCAUAGAUACCACAAAGAACACCGAUAGCGAAGGCAGCUUACUGGACCAUAACUGACACUGAGGCACGAAAGCGUGGGGAGCGAACAGGAUUAGAUACCCUGGUAGUCC
rnacentral:rRNA from 1 species